rnacentral:lncRNA from 1 species
UUAAUAUGUAUAAUUAAAAAAAGGGAAAAAGCUCGCAGUUGAAUUACAAAAGAACCAUUUACAUAAAGAGGGUCAGAGUAAUAAAAUAAUAAGCAACAUAAAAACAAAAAAUUAAAAUAAAGUAGAAAGAAAGAAACAACUACAUGCAACCACCAAAAUAUAGAAAAAACAAAAGGAUAAAACCCCCAAACCACUCACGCAGUGAGACACCACCUAACAUGGACCAAGCUAGAGCUCAG